rnacentral:rRNA from 1 species
AUUGAACGCUGGCGGAAUGCUUUACACAUGCAAGUCGAACGGCAGCACGGGGCAACCUGGUGGCGAGUGGCGAACGGGUGAGUAAUACAUCGGAACGUGCCCAAUCGUGGGGGAUAACGUAGCGAAAGUUACGCUAAUACCGCAUACGAUCUACGGAUGAAAGCGGGGGAUCGCAAGACCUCGCGCGAAUGGAGCGGCCGAUGUCAGAUUAGGUAGUUGGUGAGGUAAAGGCUCACCAAGGCGACGAUCCGUAGCUGGUCUGAGAGGACGACCAGCCACACUGGAACUGAGACACGGUCCAGACUCCUACGGGAGGCAGCAGUGGGGAAUUUUGGACAAUGGGGGCAACCCUGAUCCAGCCAUUCCGCGUGAGUGAAGAAGGCCU